GGAAUGGAACUAGCAAUCCCAGCAUGCAACUCUGGGCUACUCUGUGUGAUCGGGCCGCAAGGCCUGCUGGGAACUGUAGUUCUGUAACACUGUGAGGACACCCCUGUAUACCAGGCACGCUGCUGGGGCUUGUAGUACACCACCUGCUUUCUGGCACUUUCCUGGUGCACAUGGUGCAUAUCUAUCAAUAUUAUGCGGCAGGAGAUCUCCCCAUUCCUGUAGGCAGGAACCUACACACCCCUUUAAAGUCAGAGACAGAGUCGUGGUGAAGGUGCUCCCCAGGAACAAGAGCCCAGGAGACUUCACCUAUGGUCCAGAGACAGAGGUCGUAGCAGUUACCCGGACAGCAGUCCUGACAGAGGAAAGUCCUACCUGGACCCAUGCAUCCCGAGUAAAAAAAGGUUCCUAGACCAGACCUAGAGAGGGAAGCAAGUGAUUCCAGUGAGGUACGAACCGGGGCAGACAGCCCUGACCUCCCACCUAGCGAAGAAAGAAGAACAGAAGAAGAUGAGGAACCUGUCCCCUAUCUUUAUCCUGGGGACUAUCUCGAUAGCCCUACUGGCCCUUAUUCACCUCACAAUAUGUGAAGUCGACAUCACACAAACAAAUGGGAUCCCCACCUUGUGGUACAAUUCCUCCAAUACACACGUAGCCACAUACAUCCUUGAUUAUUUCAUGUUCCCUAAACUUGCUGACAACAAACAUUUCAUACAGCAGAAAAGGAAAUCAGGAAUGUCUGAGACAGUAUAUAUUUGUGUUACUGACGAAUGGUACUAUGACAUUAGAUAUUAUGGAUCUAAUUGUAAUUCCUGGGAAGCUGUGGGGUGGAAUACAGGAGCAGAUUGGAAAUAUGGCCCAUCAUUUGCAAAAAAUAGAUAUAGCAAAUAUCCCCAAAACAAACCUUUAAAGCCCCAUAUUGCCACUUCUAAAGAUAUGGUGGCUAUUACUAACCCUACCUUUGAAGACACCCUAGCUAUUGAAACUGGUUUCCCUGACAUUAAUUUUGGUUAGAAUGGAUGAAGUAUAGUGCUAACAAACACAAUAAAAGCAACUGUUAUGUCUGUGGCAAAUCUAGGCCCCACCUAGGUACAGUGCCCCUUAAUAUACCCCUAGAACAAGAAAAUUGUUUUUUUUUUUCAGCCUUUUUAAUGAUCACCGAUGACCCCACUCCUCCCUCUAAUACUCCUGUUAAUCGAAAGAAAAGAGCACUCCCAGGAGGUAGCUUUGACCCCCACGUAUACAUUGAUGCUAUAGGGGUCCCAAGAGGUGUUCCAAAUGAGUUCAAAGCUAGAGAUGAGGUGGCUGCGGGUUUUGAGUCAUUGUUCCCUAUAGUAACUGUAAAUAAAAACGUAGCCUGGAUUAAUUAUAUAUAUUAUAAUCAACAAAGAUUUGUUAAUGAUACCAAAGAUGCUCUUAAAGGUAUAGCUGAACAGCUAGAAGCCACUUCCCAAAUGACAUUCCAAAAUAGAAUGGCCCUUGACAUGAUCCUAGCAGAAAAAGGCGGUACAUGUGUUUACAUUAGUAAGGUGGAAGGCUGUUGUACAUAUAUUCCUGACAACACUGGUCCCAAUGGUAAGGUUACUUUAGCCAUAAACAAGUUAGAAACCUUAUCCAUAGAACUUAAGAAAAAUUCAGGUAUUGAUAACCCAUGGAGCCAAUAUUUUGGGUGGUUUGAAAAUUGGAAACAGGCUCUUGUGCAAAUAAGCAUAUUUAUACUCAUAACUUUAAUUCUUUUAGGCAUUAUAGUUUAUUGUAUAAUUCCCUGUGGAAAGAAACUUACCUCCAAAGGCAUUGAUAAGGCCCUGAUGUAUUAUGAUAUAACCACCAGUCCUGUCACCUCCUCUGAUAGUGAGGGACCCGACGAUUAUGUCCAAUAUCUCAAGAACUGGAGAAACAAGAAAGGAGCCUCACUCAAGAAUCAUGUCAUAUAAUAAUCAUGAUUCUAAGAGGGGAUUGAAGGGUUACCUCUUCUGUCUUUGUACAUAUUACUUUUUAUAUGAUCAGUUUUGUUAUGGUGGUUACAGUGUAAAAGUGAAUAUUUCUACCUCCCUAAUGAAGGGUUAAAACAUGCUUUAUGAACUCUUAUGUGUUUGCAAUGGAUGCGUGCUGCCCUGUGUUAGAUGCCUUUGUCUCUCAUACAGAUACCAGGCUUGUGUGGGUCUGGCAUCCAAGGUCAGCUCUAUACUAGAUGAAACCUGCUUUUUCUACUUCUGUGUGUUACUAAAAGAUCCUUUGUUAAGUUCCGUCUGAUGCAACGUAUAUAACAUCUGCCUAGCAACUGCUAUAUCCAAUUAUGUUAUGUCAAGUAUUAACCACCCCUACGUACCCCACCCAGGCACCUACCCCUAAGCCAAUGAGCCCUUUUACACUUAUCAGUUACACCCUUAUGUGUUCUCUUGUUAUACCAAUGUUAAACAUUCAAUAAAACAGUGUGAAUUCUUA